AAUAAAAUGCCUGAUAAAAGGAUUAUUCUGAUAGAAUAAAUUAUAUAAAUUAAAAUUAUUUUUAUUA
rnacentral:tRNA from 1 species